UACGUAGGGUGCAAGCGUUGUCCGGAAUUAUUGGGCGUAAAGAGCUCGUAGGCGGUUUGGCGCGUCUGCUGUGAAAACUCGGGGCUUAACUCCGGGCCUGCAGUGGGUACGGGCAGACUAGAGUGCGGUAGGGGAGACUGGAAUUCCUGGUGUAGCGGUGAAAUGCGCAGAUAUCAGGAGGAACACCGGUGGCGAAGGCGGGUCUCUGGGCCGUAACUGACGCUGAGGAGCGAAAGCGUGGGGAGCGAACAGG
rnacentral:rRNA from 1 species